rnacentral:lncRNA from 1 species
CAAACAGAGGCCCCACACAAACAUGCAGGCACCCAGGCAACGGGCUGCAGUGAUUGCUGGAGCCUGGCACUUGCACUGGAAGGCUGUGGAGUCAACACCUGUGUGAGGUGUGAGCAGAUCAAUGAUCUUAGUCACAUCCAGACAAGAGCUGCCACGUGGUAGAGGAGAAAAAUGUGGAAAUUUGAUAAUUGAGAAUAAGGUAGGGGAAAGCAGUACCUGCCUUGAGGGAACCACUUGGUCAGUGUGUCUUCCUUGCCCUGUGCUGGUGGAGUCAAGGUGCUGCAGUUGAAUGGCUGAUGCUGGCACUUGCACAGCAUCUUAUACAUUAACCGCACUGUUGUUCUGUUACAGAUGUGAAAAAAGUGCCCUUCUGAAACUACACUAAUCGCAGCAUGCAGUAUGCAGAGUCUGACCUGGCCAGGAAGAAGUUUCUUCAUGACUCAUUCCCAUUUCAUACCCUUUGACUGCUUGUGAAAAAUACAGCAGACAUGUGUAGAGAGGUGAAGGCUCCUGCAUUUUGCAUUGGAAGAGGGAUUCAUCUUGCCAAGAGUAUACAACGUAAAUCUGCUUUCUAAAGGACUUGGCCAACUGUGGAAAAUCCACCAAACCUGAUGUCUGGCCCCAUUCAGAUCACACACUGGGGCGGACGCGGGACUGACGUGAGCGAGCAUCGCCCCGGGAGUGCGCUGGUUACCAAGCCCUCUGAGCAGCGCUGGGGGCCUUGGCUCCAUCGCAUUAGCAAUCCAGGGGUCUCUGGCAGCAAUCAUCUCAGUCCCAGAGCUGAAGGAGGAGUGGUCGGUGAAGAGAGCUCCUAG